AGCAAGCAAUAGCCGUCAUUUCAACGUCUCGUUUCAGUAUAGACCCGAUAUAGCCGGGCUGUGCCUAGCCCACUUCUAGCCCAAUUAAACUUUAAUUUGGUUACAUUUGGUUUUUGACAAAAUAAUUUGUGAGAUGGAUGCUAUUUUAUCAUGUAAGCAAAGUUAACAGCGAUUACAAGGUAUUUCUUUUCAUUUCUUUAAAGUGUUUUAUGCAUCGUCUGUACGUAGUCAUAAUUUAGCUCAUAAAUAGACCGACUACGAAUAAACCACGUUUAGCCCAGAAAUAACCAUGAAUUUAAUUACAUGUUGUUUUGCCAAAAUUAUUUGUGAGAUGUAUGAUAUUUAAUAAUGUAAACAAAGUUCAAAGCAAUUAAUGUAUUUUGUUUCAUUUAUUUAAAGUGUUUCAUGCACCGUCUGUACUAGCCACUAUUUAGCUUACAAAUAGACCGACUACGAAUAACCCACGUUUAGCCCAGAAAUAACCAUUAAUUUAAUUACAUGUUGUUUUGCCAAAAUGAUUUGUGAGAUGUAUGAUAUUUAAUCAUGUAAACAAAGUUCAAAGCGAUUAAGGUAUUUUGUUUCAUUUCUUUAAAGUGUUUUAUACACCGUCUGUACUAGCCACUAUUUAGCUUACAAAUAGACCGACUACGAAUAACCCACGUUUAGCCCAGAAAUAACCAUUAAUUUAAUUACAUGUGGUUUUUGCCAAAAUAACUUGUGAGAUGUAUGGUAUGUCAUUGUAAGCAAAGUUAACAGCGAUUACAAUGUUUAAUUUCUUUAAGUGUUUUAUGCACCGUCAUACAUAACCACUAUUUAGCUCAUAAAUAGACCGACUACGAACAAACCAUGUUUAGCCCAAAAUAACCUUGAAUUUAAUAAAAUUUUGUUUUUGCCAAAAUAACUUGCAAGAAUUAUGAUAUUUUAUCAGGCAUGCAAAGACACCAGUGAAAUAAGAUGUUUGGUUUUAUUUAUCUUAUCUGAAUAUCUGCUGUCACGCAUAACAUUCAUUAUUUGACCGUAUUUCAAAGAUAAACAAAAUCCAGUUACAACUCCGAACCGCUAGAUGGCAGCAGUACACAAACACGGGGCCAAAUCUCACGAGAAAGAUUUCCGCUUUUUGAAAAGCAACAACAUCAGCGAGCAGCCACGAGGAAAGUAUGUACCACACUUGUUUGGUCUUGUGUCAAAGCUGUGCGAAACUGGAGGGAGAAACUUGAGAGACCGUGCCGGAAGAAUGCUGGACAGAGUUCACUAAAAUUCAUUAAUUUCAAAGUUCAACAUGAAUGGUGGUGGUCCACUGCAGAAGCAAGCAUUUGAAAAACCAUCAGUUCUCAGUUAUUAAAGAUGCUGUGUUGAACAACUUCCCGGCAGCAACAGAACUGGAAGUGAAGGAUGCAAUGGGGGGCAUUUCAAACAGGCACCAGGGAGCACGGGGGGGGGGGGUAUAGAAAUUAGUACAAUUAAUAAGUUGACGUGAACUGAAGAUAGUUUGUUAAUGUUUAGAUGUUAUUUCAUUUUUGAAAUUGUAUUUUGUUAUAUAUGCUUUUAUUUUGUUACUGUUUUUAUUCUUUUUGUUAAAAGUAGUUUUUCUUCAUUUUGUCUUAUCUGAAUUUCUAUUGUAUUAACAAUAUUUUUUGUAAUAAAUUGCAUGAUUGCAUGUUUAUGAGAACCUUUUUACUGGAUUAAAAAUAAUUCUUUAGCCAUUCUUUUGUUCUUUAUUAGACACACACGUGUAGUCGUUUAAUAGCCGUCUAUUUAACGGCUAGUCUAUUCUUGGGCUAUGAUAGACGUCUACUAGAUUUUCACUGACAGCCCAAAAUUAGCCUUGUUUUAGCCUAGACCCACAUUCACCGUCUAUUAGACGUAUAUAUGUAGACGUUUAAUAGCCGUCUAUUUGAUGACUAGUCUAUUUCUUGGGCUAUGAUAGACGUCUACUAGAUUUUCACUGACAGCCCAAAAUUAGCCUUGUUUUAGCCUAGACGUCAGGGGGGUGUUUAGACGGCUACUAGACGUCUAUUAGCCGCAAAAUUGCUUGCU